CCUACGGGAUGCAGCAGUGAGGAAUAUUGGUCAAUGGGCGGGAGCCUGAACCAGCCAAGUCGCGUGAGGGAAGACGGUCCUAUGGAUUGUAAACCUCUUUAGGCGGGGAGCAAUGCCGGGCACGCGUGCCCGGAGGGAGAGUACCCGCAGAAUAAGCAUCGGCUAACUCCGUGCCAGCAGCCGCGGUAAUACGGAGGAUGCGAGCGUUCUCCGGAUUUAUUGGGUUUAAAGGGUGCGUAGGCGGAUUUUUAAGUCAGCGGUAAAAUGUCCGGGCUCAACCCGGGCCGGCCGUUGAAACUGGGGAGCUUGAGUGGGCGAGAAGUAGGCGGAAUGCGUGGUGUAGCGGUGAAAUGCAUAGAUAUCACGCAGAACUCCGAUUGCGAAGGCAGCAUACCGGAGCCCGACUGACGCUGAGGCACGAAAGCGUGGGGAUCGAACAGGAUUAGAUACCCUUGUAGUC
rnacentral:rRNA from 1 species